rnacentral:tmRNA from 1 species
GGGGCCGACUGGUUUUGACAGCGGGUCUAAUGGUAUUGUAAGCAUGUCGAGCGCUGGAAAACAGCUCGUAAAUCUCAUAUUUCACACUUUUUAAACGGCGAGAAUAACUACGCCCUAGCUGCAUAAUCCGAAUUAUAGUAGGAUAAUGCCUCGGCCUACAAGGUA